AUUCAGUGGUAGAGUGUGUGCUUAACAUGCACAAGGUCCUGGGUUCAAUCCCCAG
rnacentral:tRNA from 1 species